CAGUCGCCGCGGGAAUACGUAGGUGGCAAGCGUUGUCCGGAAUUAUUGGGCGUAAAGGGCUCGCAGGCGGUUUCUUAAGUCUGAUGUGAAAGCCCCCGGCUCAACCGGGGAGGGACAUUGGAAACUGGGAAACUUGAGUGCAGAAGAGGAGAGUGGAAUUCCACGUGUAGCGGUGAAAUGCGUAGAGAUGUGGAGGAACACCAGUGGCGAAGGCGACUCUCUGGUCUGUAACUGACGCUGAGGAGUGAAAGCGUGGGGAGCGAACAGGAUUAGAUACCCCUGUAGUCCCUGUCUCUUAUAC
rnacentral:rRNA from 1 species